rnacentral:rRNA from 1 species
CCCCAGCGCCACGAGUGGGAACCACGUUUAUUGGGCCUAAAGCGUCCGUAGCCUGUCCUGUAAAUCUUCUGUGAAAUCGUUGAGCUCAACUUAACGUCGUGCAGAAGAGACUGCAAGACUUGGAACCGGGAGGAGUCAGAGGUAUUCCUGAGGGAGCGGUAAAAUGUGAUAAUCUCAGGAGGACCACCUGUGGCGAAGGCGUCUGACUAGAACGGAUUCGACGGUGAGGGACGAAAGCUAGGGGAGCAAUCCGG